rnacentral:rRNA from 1 species
AGAUUGAACGCUGGCGGCAUGCUUUACACAUGCAAGUCGUGCGGCAGCGCGGGGGCAACCCUGGCGGCGAGCGGCGAACGGGUGAGGAAUACAUCGGAACGUACCCCGGAGUGGGGGAUAACCCAGCGAAAGUUGGACUAAUACCGCAUAUGCUCUGAGGAGGAAAGCAGGGGACUUCGCAAGAGGCCUUGCGCUCUGGGAGCGGCCGAUGUCCGAUUAGCUAGUUGGUGGGGUAAUGGCUCACCAAGGCGACGAUCGGUAGCUGGUCUGAGAGGAUGAUCGGCCACACUGGGACUGAGACACGGCCCAGACUCCUACGGGAGGCAGCAGUGGGGAAUUUGGACAAUGGGGGCAACCCUGAUCCAGCCAUGCCGCGUGCGGGAAGAAGGCCUUCGGGUUGUAAACCGCGUUUUGGUACGGGAAGAAAGGACCGAGGACCGUUGAAGUACGGCCUGGUCUUUGACGGUACCGGCAGAAUAAGCACCGGCUAACGUACGUG